CGCGUAGGCGGCGUGGUAAGUCAGUUGUGAAAUCUCCGAGCUUAACUCGGAACGGCCAACUGAUACUGCUGUGCUAGAGUGCAGAAGGGGCAAUCAGAAUUCUUGGUGUAGCGGUGAAAUGCGUAGAUAUCAAGAGGAAUACCUGAGGUGAAGACGGGUUGCUAGGCUGACACUGACGCUGAGGCGCGAAAGCCAGGGGAGCAAACGGGAUUAGAUACCCCGGUAGUCCUGGCCCUAAACGAUGAAUACUUGGUGUCUGGAGUUUUAAUGCUCCGGGUGCCGUCGCUAACGUUUUUAGUAUUCCGCCUGGGGAGUACGGUCGCAAGACUGAA
rnacentral:rRNA from 1 species